CAGUCGCCACGGUAAUACGGAGGGCGCGAGCGUUACCCGGAUUUACUGGGCGUAAAGGGCGUGUAGGCGGCCUGGGGCGUCCCAUGUGAAAGGCCACGGUUGAGCCGUGGAGGAGCGUGGGAUACGCUCAGGCUAGAGGGUGGGAGAGGGUGGUGGAAUUCCCGGAGUAGCGGUGAAAUGCGCAGAUACCGGGAGGAACGCCGAUGGCGAAGGCAGCCACCUGGUCCACUUCUGACGCUGAGGCGCGAAAGCGUGGGGAGCAAACCGGAUUAGAUACCCCCGUAGUCCCUGUCUCUUAUAC
rnacentral:rRNA from 1 species